AGCACCGCCGCGGUAAUACGAAGGGUGCAAGCGUUAAUCGGAAUUACUGGGCGUAAAGCGUGCGUAGGCGGUUUGUUAAGUCUGCUGUGAAAUCCCCGGGCUCAACCUGGGAAUGGCAGUGGAUACUGGCAAGCUAGAGUGUGUCAGAGGAUGGUGGAAUUCCCGGUGUAGCGGUGAAAUGCGUAGAGAUCGGGAGGAACAUCAGUGGCGAAGGCGGCCAUCUGGGACAACACUGACGCUGAGGCACGAAAGCGUGGGGAGCAAACAGGAUUAGAUACCCCCGUAGUCCCUGUCUCUUAUACA
rnacentral:rRNA from 1 species